ACCAUUUAUAUUUUAUUCUUUGCUUUGGAUUCUCAAUCUCUUAAGAUCCCUAAAAGUGAUCCUCAUUUGAUGAAUAUAGAUUAUGAGAAUUCACAAGUUCAAUUUUUGGGUACUUGUUGAAUGAUACUUUCCAUCGUUGUACACUGUAUUUAUAAACCAUUUCACCAUACAUGUUCUGUGUAAUUCUACAAAUAUAUUGAGAGAGAAGUAGUCUUGCUCACUGAAUACUCUCAUCAACCAUCUGUGANCAAAAUACUCCUUAUAAAUUAUAAAUUUGUUGAGUCCUAAAGAAACACUGGCAGCUGUCUUUUUAGCAUUAAUGUGUGUUCUGUGAUAGAAAAUAAAACCUAAGCUGUCAUUUUAGAAGUUUCUGACCUCUGUUUUUCAUAGCUGAUGGUAUUUAAGCACUACAAUUACACCAUUACAAGUAUACAAUUUCANAGAUUUUGAAAGGGAAAAUUCAAUGAUAGUUUCUGGUAUACAUUGUUAUGUAAAUUAAAGAGUCUCAGUAGAGUAAACUACAAAUGUGUCAUUUAAAAUACAAAAUUACAUUUUUGUCAAACUAGAACUAAUUGUGCUUAUAUAACUCAAAAGAGAAAAUGAUUGAAAGUAUUUCUUCUGAUUGUUUUUGGUUGGCUCUGGUGUUUAAUUUAAAUAUUCAUUCACAUUUAUUGAAAAACAGUGANUCAUAAUCUUUGGUUUUUAAAAAGCAAUUGGUGCUUUCUUGAACACCAAGACAUUUCAUUGGGCAACAAAAAAUUAGAAGCAAUUUAUUACAUACAGCUGUGUUAUUUAUUGUACAUGUACCAUAUCCAAAAAUUGUGUUAUCUAAUAUAAAUUAAGCUAUUUCUCAUGGAUGUUUUCCAGUAAGAUUCACUUUAUCUUUGGAAUCUAGUUAUCUUUAAUACAUUUAAGGUUGUGAGUCUCCAGGGCUUUUACUGCAAGAAAAAUUACUUAAUUUUAUGAUGAAAAUUGCUACCCCAUGCUAUNUCUCAUUGAAUUAGAUUUGUGAAUUCACUGUAAAAAGAAACCAAUCAGCCAUGUAUCACAUCCUUGAAUCAGCCCCUCGCUGUGACUUGGAGUACUUCUCACAUUGAUAAACUCUAGACAAAGUGAACAAAUGGAGCGCUAUAUUGAAACAUUGCGAAAAAAACAGGAGGAAAGCAGGAAAAUACCCUUAACAUAUUUUUAAUGAUUAGACAAAGGACACAUCCAUGCUUUGUAGCAAUAAUAACAACCAACAGACUUAGUUUAUAGCAAUAUGAUAUUUUUCUUGAUUUUUGCAGAGCGUCUUGAGCUAGAGACCAAUACCUUNGGUUAUAUUAAUUCCAUUCAUAAAUUCAUUAAAGCAAGUAGAGAGGAAUGUUUUUCUUUUUCAAUUAAGCCUUUUGAAUAUGAGCAAUUUUCAUAUCUUGUACUUAAUAUGUAUUAUGUAUAUAAUUCAAAUGGAGAAAGAAAUACAUUUUGUACAUUUUUUUGCUGCCUUACUGAGUAAAAGCAGUGUAUCUGAUGGUUAUUCAAAAAGCAUAAUUAAAAAGGAAAACAUUCUGGAGUUGCUUUGAUGAAUAAACUAUGAAAAGAUAUAAACAACAUGAAAUCAAGCUCCACAUGAAAUCGUUUUGCUCAUUAUUCAGAAGGAAUUGAGAAAGAAAAACAUCACAUGUGAGUGUAUUUAUGAUAAAAACAUAAAAUACUACAAUUUCAAACACAUGAAGUCCAUAAUGGCAAAUAAAUUGAAACAAUUUCUGUCAUUGCAUGUAAUCUACAUUUUCGUUUUUGUUGCAACACCAUCACCACAAAAAAGUAAAUUCAUUGAAAUGCCUGUAAAUUUUUCAAAUGAAAUGAUAUUUUUUUUACAUUUUUUUUUACUGGUUUCUGUUUUCACAAUUGCUCAAUAUAGUUUAUAUAACAAAGAGAAUGGAAAUUAAAAUUUUUAAUAUUUUUGAUGUAUUUCCUUUACGUGUUGUUUCCAUGUAAUGCCUGUUUCUUGACACAUUUAGAGAUAAAUAACGGUACACUAUAAUACCAAGGUAAAACUUUAAAGGAAUGAUGUGAUUUGAGUGUUGUGUCUACAUAUACAUGCNAAAGAAUACUUUUCAGCCAACACUGCAAGCAAAAACCACAACUUUGGUCAAAUAGACUAGGAUAUUGUUUAUAUACUCUGCCUUGAAUUUCUCCAUGAAUCACUCUCAGUCAGAUAAGCCGAUUAAAUCAAUUUUCUUUUGAGUUGUGUGGUUUGAUUGUGGCAAAGUGGUUUAAUACAAAACUAGGAUAAAACAAUUAUCAGUAUUAAAGUCAAAUAUUGAUCAAUACAAAGNCUCAACUAUAGGGUGACAUAAUCUUAAGUUCAUUGAAUCAAUAUCACACAAAAAUCAAACUACGCCAGGAAAACAUGAAUUUAUUCAAAUAGUGAUUUUCUCAGAUAAAGAUUAUUAUUACUAAAAUGUCUAUUGGGAAAUGGAUUUUAUAUUUAUUUCAUCUAUCAGGGCUUUUUCUACUUUAUGUCAUUCCCCUUGGAAAUACAAAGAUUUUGUCUUAGGUUGUAAUACUUUAAAAUACACUCAAUAUUACUGUAUAAUCUAUUUUUAUUGAACUUUGAAAGCUCUGAACCAUAUAACUAUGCUGGUUUGUAAUGUUUAAUUUCAUUCUAUUUUUGUUCAACAAUUUCUUGCCUUAAAUGGUUUAUUCAUAUUGUCAUCUCUUUUUUCAUUGCUUUCUGGUGCUGUUUGUGAUGUUUUCUUAUCUCANCAUAACAUACUGACACUUAAUUAACACUACAUAACUUCAAUGACCACACCCAUGCUCAAAAACACAGACACCCUUCAGCUUUNGCCAACCUGUGGCUUUUUGAGAUAGAUGCAAAGACCNCUCAAGUCAAGCAACAUGUCUCAUAUAAACAAGAAAGUCUUUGAUAAAGUUUAUAUACUAUUAAAAACCUUUGCACUGGGUGGCUGUCUAUUGCCAAAAACAGUAGUUUCUCUGCAUGGCUUUAGGAAGAGCAUACUUCUAAUGAUAAAACUAGUAGUGUGAAAAGUUAGCUCUCUGCAUGCCUGUAGGAUGUGCAUCCUCUCUAUGUAUAGCCUCUCUGUUUGCCGCCAAAGUGUANGUGUCAAUGUUGAUGACUAGUUUAGUAUGCUGCAGUGAUCAUGUGUUUUCAGUACUGAAUUCUAGUUUAUGCAGAAUUUGAUCUCCUGAACUAGAAGUUUAACACUUUGCUUCAAAAUUAAUUGAUUGAAUUGAGGUGUAACUUAAGAACUUGGUUAUUGGAGUAUUUGAUGACUAAUUAGCACUCUAUAUCCCAUCUAUCUUCACUUUAACAGUAAAAACAAUUUUUUUUAUUAUGGUUCAAUGGAGUCUAAAUUUUAUUAUGUAAAAUGAAUGAAUUAGGAUUAUAUAUAAUUUAUUGCNAACUGCACAUCAAUUUCUUGUAAUUUGUUAAAUACACGUUAAGUUUUUAAGAUCAAACUACAAAUACAAGGUUUUUCAUUUAGAAAAAGGGUUAUUUUUCAGACAAAAAAAUCGGUCAAUAGAAUACAAAUUAUAGACUUUGAAACUUCAUAAACCUCAAAAACAUCAAUUUUUGCUAGGGAGUUUAUUUUUGAGUACUGUCAUAGCAUGCCACUUUUUCAAGUUAGAAAGUCCAACAUGGUGCAGCCCAAAAAUAGUAUUAGUAAAAAUGUUAGUAAAGAUUUAAAAUAGUGCUUAAAGUAAUGAUAGAAUNAAACUGCCAACAAUUUACUAUGCUCACGUCUAAAGUAUUAUUGAGCAUUUCAUGCUGUUACAGUGCCUUCCUUAGUGAAUCCAGUGCAUUGAACCAAGGCAUCAAGCUAAGCACAACACAAGUCUUUUCAUUUAUCGUACCACUGACGCCUUAGUCCAAUGCUUUGCUUGUGAUCUUUGAAUCUGUGCAUGGAAAGUUUAAAAUAAUUAUCAUCAUCGCCAUAAUUGUUAUUAUAACGAUCAAUAUUAUCAUUUUAUUUUAUUCAGAUUAAAAGCUCUGACAAUAAACCUUUUAGUUCGGUUGUUUUAUGGCCUAAAAUGAACACGCGAAACAAAGUUUAAUAGUNAAAUUGUAAUGAUGUACAUCGAAAAGGCAAAGAAAAAUCUGCAAAAUAUAAUUAAGAUGUAGUACGGCAAAGAGUGUUUCACUAUAAUGAUUUUUACUGAAGAUGAUCCAAUAAAUCACAACAGCUUUUGCUUGUACUUCAACUAGUAAAACAGCAUCAACUCGAGACUUNUCUUCGUUUUGCAUCUGAUUAUGGACGCCUUUGUGCAUNCAAAUGUUGCCUUNUUCUUCAUACUACAAGGGAUUAAUGUCUCCAUUUACGGGUUACUUGGCGAAAUUCUAUGUUUGGUGCGGGCCGAUAUGGUCUUCAAGUCAUUAUUGAUUGGCAUUCUUGUAUGCGUUUCACAAAUUUUUGCGUGCUCAGCGAAGAAACCGGUGUCAGAGUUUAGGCGCGUUUACACUUGCGAAUUUUGCAGAGCGAUUAUUGCGGCGAGCGUCGUGGCGACCAUCGGCUGCGUAUCGUACAUGCUUAAAAAUUUUCUGCAACUUUGCGGCGAUUUCCGUCGCCUCAACAAUCGCAGGGCUGUUUACAUGUACGAUUUGAGUUGCUCGAUGGCAAAGUGGUGAUUAUCGCGCUGCAAAAAUUGCAAGUGUUUGCGGGCCUUUAGAAAAUAUUAACAAACCGCUGGUUGAUAACUUUUUUUCAACUAAUAUCCACUUCAUGNUUGUUUUGCUGUUUUCGAUAUUAUAUGAAAUAACCUCAGGUUAUUAUUNAUAUUAUUUUUUUAAAGAGCAAAAACUCCAACUGAUUACUCCAUGAAGUCGACCAAACACUACUNACAAAACAAAUGGCGACUAAAAAAAUCUUCCUUUUUUUCAUUUUCUAUUUUUUUUAUCAUGCGGAUGCAACUUUGAAACAAAAAAUACAGGACUGUCGCUCGACCUUUGGGUUAAAAAAUGGUGAGUAAGAUAGCAAUCUAGUCGUAGGUUGAUAUCUGUGGCGAGGUUUUCUGGUAAAUACGGCUGUUCUUUGGCUGUUGGACAUGAUUUCCUGUUGCCUUUUAUCACUGGUACAGACAAAUAGAUGUAAAGCUCGUCCGACAAUAUCAGCGGUCGAAAAAUCCAAAGUUUUCGAGGGAGUUUGAACCGUUUUGCGAUUGCCGUAAUAGUAUCCAUGACGGCCUUUAGCUGUUCCUUACGCCAUCUUGAAAGGUAAUGAUUAUAGUCGUACUUUGACUUUGAUCAAAGUGAGAUAAAGUGUGAACCAAUGAUAGUACAUUAUAUAUGUGAAUAUUGUGAUUUGUAUACUUCAACGGAACGAAUCCAGCAGAAUUCUGAUUGUAGACUAUAGUCGCACUUGGAAAAAAAAAAAAGCGGAAAUGUUGUUGUUUUUGUUUNUUCUACACAGUUUACUGAACUCGAAUCAGACCACUCAGUCUCGCUCUCUAUUCUUACUCCACUCGGCCUCGUGUUCUAAUUAUCGGUCUCUCGAACCGAUGUAAAAUCACGGCUUUUUUUAAUCUUUUACUAGGGAUCAGGGAUGGGUCUGUAUUCUUUUCCGUGCGUUUUACAGCCAUUGAGACCUUCGCCAACUGUAGCUGGUCCAAUAUUCGAUGCCUAGCCUUUUAAAUACAAAUCAAUAGUCAAAGCAACGGCAAUUAUAAGUAGUUUAUGUGUUCAGGUUUAGUUGCUAAAAAAGAUUUUUCAACCGGUUGGUUUCAAACCCUGACCUCGGUUUCAUGCGCGCGCCGCGCGGAUAGAUGGGACGUAUUCAGGGUUGCCGUCCAUUACCNGAUUUCAUACCGUGGGAGACUGGUGAGAUAACAAAUAUAUUCAAUUAUAUAGAACGAAAGAUCGCACAGUAAAUAAGAAACUCACAAAGUUUAGUGUUAAUCGGACGAUUGGCAGCUUUUCAAAAAUUCUAGAUUUUACAAAGAAAUGCCAUGGGAAUUUAGAAAGAUCCGGGGCGUCCGGCAUUCUAUACAUUUCUUCGGAAAUUCUAGCGUUUUUGAAAGGAUUGUUUAAAAUUGAGCUGACCAACCCACAAUUCGGACAAUUAGUAUUUCGUAAUCAAUCUUUCGUUCUAUAUUGGUCGUAUUAAUCCAACCUCGUUCCCAGGCCCUUAUCUCCUCGAGGUUGGUAUUCCACCAUCAUGCAUUGAGUGACUUGUAUACAGUGUCCCACGGUAUAAAAUCAGGCAUUGAGCUUCUUUGAGACGAUGUUGACGUGAGUCGAGGACCAUGGCUUCCGUGUUGAGGUGAUUUCUUAUAGAAUUGUUACUUUUCAAUUUCUUCAACAGAAAUGAAAACAAUUAUACUAAAAUUAUAAGAACGCACAUUCAUUUGGACUAACAAACUGUGUGAUUUCACACUUCGGUCAAUUCCAACGAUCACUCAAGAAAACAAAAAUUGCAAGCCACUUUGGGCACUUUUCUUUGUUAUCGAGAGCAACAUUCGCAACGUUUGAACCAUUUGGACAGAAUUUGCUGAUAAUAAGCUUGUGCAAGCAUGA
rnacentral:sRNA from 1 species